UAGGGAAUCUUCCGCAAUGGGCGAAAGCUUGACGGAGCAACGCCGCGUGAGUGAUGAAGGUCUUCGGAUCGUAAAACUCUGUUAUUAGGGAAGAUCAAAUGUGUAAGUAACUAUGCACGUCUUGACGGUACCUAAUCAGAAAGCCACGGCUAACUACGUGCCUGCAGCCGCGGUAAUACGUAGGUGGCAAGCGUUAUCCGGAAUUAUUGGGCGUAAAGCACGCGUAGGCGGUUUUUUAAGUCUGAUAUGAAAGCCCACGGCUCAACCAUGGAGGGUCAUUGGAAACUGGAAAACUUGAGUGCAGAAAAGGAAAGUGGAAUUCCAUGUGUUGCGGUGAGAUGCGCAUUGAUAUGGAGGAAAAACAGUGGCGGAGGCGACUGUCUGGUCAGUAACUGACGCUGAUAUGCGAAAGCAUGGGGAUCAAACAGG
rnacentral:rRNA from 1 species